CUUUAUUGAAGACGACAAUGAGAAAAACUAUCAGACAGCAGACGGCUGCAUUCAAGGAUGACGAGAUAGACCCCUGAUGAAAAGCCCCCUGCCCGGCUCCUCCAUCACCACCAUGGCUCGAGGAGACAGCUGAGGAUAAAAAAGGAGUUAUAUUCUUGAUGGAUAAUAUCCAUGGCUUUAACACAACAACCAACUCAUCAACGGUAACACUGCCAAGCAAAGAACUGGACCAUGCAGAGUGGAAUGGUGUAGUGCGGCCAAUUGAAAAUUCUUUUGGGUUUGCACCAAAACCUGCUGACAAAGAGGACACACAGGGGAAUACAGAAGAGUGAAAAUGACACAGCAGAGGGUUCAACUCAACAGAUCCAAACACAUAUGAAGUCCUAACUGAGUACAGCCAUCAGAAUGAGGAACCAGCAGGGGAUUUCUUCAUCCUGUUAUGCUUCUUCUCCUCAAUAAACAUUUCAUUUGAAACUA
ensembl:lncRNA